rnacentral:tRNA from 1 species
GGAUGGCUCAGUGGUUAAGAGCACUGGUUGUUCUUCUCAAGGACCUGGGUUUGAUUCCCAGCAUCCA